ACAAGAAGAGUGAUGGAAGUUGAAGAAGAAAGGAAACACUGUGUCCAAUGGAAUACCGUGUGAACAUUCAUCUAUAUACUCUGAGACCAGAACUGUAAGACUCAUCGGGAAGAGCGGAGAGUAAGGCUGCCUUACCGACUGGUCUCUUCGGUCCUUGUCACUGUGUGAAUCAUGCUCAUGACAGCUGUCUCCAAGGAUACCGACACUUCAGCAAUUUGACAAGCUCUUCUUAGGCCCGGUAAUACAUGUAUUGAGCCAUAGCCUUCGGUGCGUAAGAGUGAAUGCCAAGAGUAAACGGACAAUGACUAGGAGCAUGCAGAUCUGUACAUGUGUGGGUAUGUGUGCCAGCAUGGCUCCCAUAGGAACAUGU